rnacentral:rRNA from 1 species
CGGCGAACGGGUGAGUAACACGUGGAUAACCUACCUAUAAGACUGGGAUAACUUCGGGAAACCGGAGCUAAUACCGGAUAAUAUAUUGAACCGCAUGGUUCAAUAGUGAAAGACGGUUUUGCUGUCACUUAUAGAUGGAUCCGCGCCGCAUUAGCUAGUUGGUAAGGUAACGGCUUACCAAGGCAACGAUGCGUAGCCGACCUGAGAGGGUGAUAGGCCACACUGGAACUGAGACACGGUCCAGACUCCUACGGGAGGCAGCAGCC